rnacentral:rRNA from 1 species
UACGAAGGGGGCUAGCGUUGCUCGGAAUUACUGGGCGUAAAGCGCACGUAGGCGGCUUCUUAAGUCGGUGGUGAAAUCCUGGAGCUCAACUCCAGAACUGCCUUCGAUACUGGGAAGCUCGAGUCCGGGAGAGGUGAGUGGAACUGCGAGUGUAGAGGUGAAAUUCGUAGAUAUUCGCAAGAACACCAGUGGCGAAGGCGGCUCACUGGCCCGGUACUGACGCUGAGGUGCGAAAGCGGGGGGAGCAAACAGG